UAGGUAGUUUACGUAUCCUGCUGACGCGGAUAAUUUCCCGAAAGGGAUUGUAAUACGCGAUGAGACCACAUCCGAUCCGUCGGGAGGGGUCAAAGGUUCGGGAUCCUUCGGGACCGAGCGCAGUGGGAGCGGACGACCUCCGAUUAGCUAGUUGGCGGGUAACGGCCCACCAAGGCGAUGAUCGGUAGCCGGCCUGAGAGGGUGUCCGGCCACACUGGGACUGAGACACUGCCCAG
rnacentral:rRNA from 1 species